AGCAGCCGCGGUAAUUCCAGCUCCAAUAGCGUAUAUUAAAGUUGUUGCAGUUAAAAAGCUCGUAGUUGAAUUUCGGGGUUAGUAGGUUGGUCAUGCCUCUGGUAUGUACUGGUCUCACUGAUUCCUCCUUCCUGAUGAACCUUAAUGCCAUUAAUUUGGUGUUUUGGGGAAUUUGGACUGUUACUUUGAAAAAAAUUAGAGUGUUUAAAGCAGGCUAACGCCUGAAUACAUUAGCAUGGAAUAAUGAAAUAGGACGUUCGAUCCUAUUUUGUUGGUUUCUAGGAUUGACGUAAUGAUUAAUAGGGAUAGUUGGGGGCAUUAGUAUUCAAUUGUCAGAGGUGAAAUUCUUGGAUUUAUUGAAGACUAACUGCUGCGAAAGCAUUUGCCAAGGAUGUUUUCUAUUAAUCAAGAACGGAAG
rnacentral:rRNA from 1 species